rnacentral:misc_RNA from 1 species
AUAAUCUAUUUCUUAAUCACAUUAGGAUGAAGUUUCAGAACAGAAAUACCGGAAAGUUUAAUAGAUACACACCAGUUUUAAGGAUAAGUUUCACAUACACACGAGAAAUUAUUGAGGGCAAGCAGCAUGCAUCCAGAGCAACUCUCUAUAUGCUUAAUUUCUCAGGCCUUUCGGCACACAUCUCCAUCGCACGUCCAUCCCUCCUUUCCCUUUUCAGCCUCGCCUUUUUCCUCUUUCUUUAAAGCACACUUGGGGUGGAGAUCAAAGUCGCAUUGCCUACAAUAGAAAGAGUAGAGGUAUCCCAUCUCCCUACAGCCAUUGCACACAUAUCCACUGCGUUUUGUGCGAGUAAGCUCGUGCUGAGAAUGAAGUUCAUGUUUCAGCUUCUCAGGCCACGCCUUUGCUGUUUCCUCCAGCUUUUCUUCUAGUUGCUUCAGGUGAUCUUCAGUGAAUGGAUAUGCAUCUGCUCCAUAAGCUGCUAGGUGUUCUCUUGCUUCCUUAGUUAUUGUCUGCCCUUUGGGGCUGAUGGCUAUGGCUGCAGGAAUACCUUUUAUUUUGAAUUUUCGUUGCAGGAUUGUUUUCCUUUCAUCACCAAAUGGAAGAGCUAACCAAGGCAUUUCUGAAUAGAAUUCAUCGAACGAAGAUUGAUCGCGGUCACUUGAGAUGAAGAUUACCUCAAAUGCAUUGUCCUUCGCCUUGAUUUCAUGGUAUGCUUCAAUUAGCUUGGGUAAAAAGGCUCGACAGGGUGGGCACCAUUUUGCUGAGAAAUAGAGGAGAACAUUCUUUCCAACUAGUUCUGAUACAGCAACCUUGGAACCGCUCUUUUCUAUCACAAAAUCUUUAUCUCCAUGAACCAAAACAGACUCUAGUGUCUGUGCUUCAAGUCUUGCCUUCUCAAUCUCAGCAAGUUCAACCAACUUUUCUGGUGUAAAUGGGUAGGCUUCAAUGCCAUGAUCUUCAAUAAGCUCAGCUACAUUUGGGUUCAAAGUCUUUCCAUCUUGCCCAAUUAUGACCAGAGUAGGAAGGGCUCUGAGCUCAAAGUAACGUGCUAAUUUCUCACGGCACUUGUCCUCAAAUGGUAUUGCUAACCAAGGGAUUGUUUCAAGACUUUGCUUGAAUUCCUUCUCAUCAUAGUCUAUAGAUAUCAGCACCACCUCAAAGUUCUCUCCUUUCUCCUUGAGCUUUUUAUAUACAUCCACAAGUUUGGGAGUGAAUUCGAGGCAUCGCCGGUGAGAAGCAACUGAGAAGUACAAACCUACCAUUUUCCCUUCAAUCUCAGACACUGCAACCUUCGUUCCAUCCUUUGAAAUCAGAUAAUCGCGCGAGCUUGAAACCAAGAUGGAGCUCAAGGUCUGAUUCUUCUUAGCAUUCUCUUCUUCCUGUCUAAAAUAGUCAAGUCUUUCAGGGGUAAAUGGAUACCCCUCAGCUCCAUAGUCCCUGACGAUCUUGACCCCUUGAUCACAAGAAACCUUCCCAUCAGUGUCAAGAAUGACAAGACUAGGAAUCCCCCUCACUUUAAACAACUCCUUAAGGCGUUUUCGGAUUUCCUGAUCAGAAAAUGGAAUGGCAAGCCAAGGCAUUUUGGAGAAGUAACCAUUGAAAGAUUCAUCAUCCCUAUCAGAAGAAAUGAAAACUACUUCAAAAUCGCCUUUUGAUGAGAGCUUCUCAUAGACUUCCACCAAGUUUGGUGUGAAAUGUCGACAUGGUCCACACCAUGAGGCAGAGAAAUAUAAUCCCACAAUCUUUCCAACCAAGCUGCUGAUCUUAACCUGAUCGCCGUUGUUACGGAUCAGAAAGUCUCUGUCUUCUGCGGAGAGAAGUGAAAACAGAUCAUGAGAAACAUCACCAACGAGCUCGUUAGCCAUUUUUUUCUCGCAGGAACAAUAGGUAGACUUGGUAUGCGGGUUGAUUCUUCUUUCCUAUAAGACAAUGAAAUAUAAUAUUUUUAUUCUUUGGUUUAUCCGCUGGAUUGCUAAGUAA